GAUGAACGCUAGCGGCAGGCUUAACACAUGCAAGUCGAGGGGCAACACGGGUAGCAAUACCUGGUGGCGACCGGCGCAAGGGUGCGUAACGCGUGAGCAACAUGCCCUAUACAGGGGGAUAAUCCAGGGAAACUUGGUCUAAUAUCCCAUAGUAUUUAGAGGUGGCAUCACCACUAAAUUAAAGCUUCGGUGGUAUAGGAUUGGCUCGCGUGACAUUAGCUAGAUGGUGGGGUAACGGCUCACCAUGGCUAUGAUGUCUAGGGGUUCUGAGAGGAAGACCCCCCACACUGGGACUGAGACACGGCCCAGACUCCUACGGGGGCAGCAGUGGGGGAUCUUGCACAAUGGGCGAAAGCCUGAUGCAGCGACGCCGCGUGAGCGAAGAAGGCCUUCGGUUGUAAGACUCUGUCUGGAGGGACGGAAGAAAAGUAGACGGUACCGUCCGGACGGAAGACCACGGCUAACUACGUCGCCACGCAGCCGCGGUAACGUCUAGUCUACGC
rnacentral:rRNA from 1 species